AGCAGCCGCGGUAAUUCCAGCUCCAAUAGCGUAUAUUAAAGUUGUUGCAGUUAAAAAGCUCGUAGUUGAAUUUCGGGGUUCUACCGUUGGUCAGGCUAUUGUCUGUACUGGCGUGUAGAAUUUCUACCUUCUGGGGAACUAUCAUGUUAUUAAUUUAGCGUGGUAGGAAACCAGGACCUUUACCUUGAAAAAAUUAGAGUGUUUAAAGCAGGCUUAUGUCUGAAUACAUUAGCAUGGAAUAAUAAAAUAGGACGGUGGUCCUGUUUUGUUGGUUUCUGAAUCACCGUAAUGAUUAAUAGGGAUAGUUGGGGGCAUUAGUAUUCAAUUGUCAGAGGUGAAAUUCUUGGAUUUAUUGAAGACUAACUACUGCGAAAGCAUUUGCCAAGGAUGUUUUCAUUAAUCAAGAACGAAAGUUAGGGGAUCGAAGACGAUCAGAUACCGUCGUAGUCUUAACCAUAAACUAUGCCGACUAGGGAUCGGACGAUGUUAACUUUCUUGACUCGUUCGGCGCCUUACGGGA
rnacentral:rRNA from 1 species